CCUACGGGUGGCAGCAGUGGGGGAUAUUGCACAAUGGGGGGAACCCUGAUGCAGCGACGCCGCGUGGGUGAAGAAGGGCCUCGGCGCGUAAAGCCCUGUCAGCAGGGAAGAAAAGGACGGUACCUGAAGAAGAAGCCCCGGCUACCUACGGGCCAGCAGCCGCGGUAAUACGUAGGGGGCAAGCGUUAUCCGGAUUUACUGGGUGUAAAGGGGGCGCAGACGGCGAUGCAAGCCAGGAGUGAAAGCCCGGGGCCCCACCCCGGGACUGCUCUUGGAACUGCGUGGCUGGAGUGCAGGAGGGGCAGGCGGAAUUCCUGGUGUAGCGGUGAAAUGCGUAGAUAUCAGGAGGAACACCGGUGGCGAAGGCGGCCUGCUGGACUGCAACUGACGUUGAGGCCC
rnacentral:rRNA from 1 species